UACGUAGGGGGCUAGCGUUGUCCGGAAUCAUUGGGCGUAAAGAGCGUGUAGGCGGCCCGGUAAGUCCGCUGUAAAAGUCAAAGGCUCAACCUUUGAAUGUCAGUGGAUACUGCCGGGCUAGAGUCCGGAAGAGGCGAGUGGAACUCCUGGUGUAGCGGUGGAAUGCGCAGAUAUCAGGAGGAACACCAAUGGCGAAGGCAGCACUCUGGGACGUGACUGACGCUGAGACGCGAAAGCGUGGGGAGCGAACAGG
rnacentral:rRNA from 1 species